GAACCAUCAUUUCUCAUGACUCCUGCGCUUCCUCCUUCCCAUGGGGUAAAGUCCACACUUUUAAUGUGGCCUCCAGCCCUUUGCAGUCUGUCCAGUCUCCCCUUCAGUCUCUUUUAACAUCACGUGAACCCUCCACUCCAGUCAAAACUCCCUGUAGUUUUUGGCCUCUCAGAUCCUGUGUCAUUCCUGCUUUUUUUCCCCCUUUGAAACCUGAGAUUAAACCCUGCUGGCUCUGGGAAGCCACUUCUAACUGCCAUGACACAGCACAAUAUCCCUUUCCUCCGGCACUUACUGUUUCACAAUUUGGUGAGCAUGGCAUGCUGCCUUAUACUGUGAUUUAAUCCUUUUUAAAGGUUGAGGUAUAAAAUAACAUAAACUGUGUAAACAGUCCUGAUCUUAA
ensembl:lncRNA novel transcript